rnacentral:rRNA from 1 species
AGUCAGGAGUGAAAGGCUACGGCUCAACCGUAGUAAGCUCUUGAAACUGGGAGACUUGAGUGCAGGAGAGGAGAGUGGAAUUCCUAGUGUAGCGGUGAAAUGCGUAGAUAUUAGGAGGAACACCAGUGGCGAAGGCGGCUCUCUGGACUGUAACUGACGCUGAGGCACGAAAGCGUGGGGAGCAAACAGGAUUAGAUACCCUGGUAGUCCACGCUGUAAACGAUGAGUACUAGGUGUCGGGGGUUACCCCCUUCG